CCUACGGGAGGCAGCAGUGGGGGAUAUUGCACAAUGGCGGAAACCCUGAUGCAGCGACGCCGCGUGGGUGAAGAAGUAUUUCGGUAUGUAAAGCCCUAUCAGCAGGGAAGAAAGAAGACGGUACCUGACUAAGAAGCCCCGGCUAACUACGUGCCAGCAGCCGCGGUAAUACGUAGGGGGCGAGCGUUAUCCGGAUUCACUGGGUGUAAAGGGAGCGUGGACGGCCGUGCAAGCCAGGAGUGAAAGCCCGGGGCCCAACCCCGGGACUGCUCUUGGAACUGUGCGGCUGGAGUGCGGGAGGGGCAGGCGGAAUUCCUGGUGUAGCGGUGAAAUGCGUAGAGAGCAGGAGGAACACCGGCGGCGAAGGCGGCCUGCUGGACCGCGACUGACGUUGAGGCUCGAAAGCGUGGGGAGCGAACAGGAUUAGAUACCCUAGUAGUC
rnacentral:rRNA from 1 species